CCUAAGUCAGUCACCAGCCUCUCAAGCAGGUCAGGAUUCUGCUAGUCAGUUCAUGAAGUUUCUAUCAAAAAAGGAAUCUUGGUGCUUCCCUCUUUCCCCAGUAUUCAGAGAAAACUGAAGGUUUUCAGGCCAUUCUGGAGAGACAAGCCAAGGACCACAGAGCCAAACCACAACCCCCUCAGAUGGUUCAGACUCCCUCUACAAUCGGAGGCAGCUGUCUGACUUCUGAGUAAGCUUUCAACACAGAAGCCAUCAUAGAUCACAAACAUCAAGAGACGCGGGCCCGUGUAAUGACAGACCAGCAGAUGGAGAGUGGGUAGGCUCUGUGACCAACUUGCUGUGUGACCCUGGGUUCACUGCCUUCAAGGACUCAUGUGAUUAGACCGGGCCACUGGAUAAUCACGAUAGUUGUCCCAUCUCAAGCCUUUGGAAAGGGAAUGUUUGAAUCUGGUCUGCCAUGCAAGGUACCCUGCUCCAAGUAACUUCCACCCCGAUCAAGCUCCUGACCAGACUCAUCUGCAGCAUAAAUAGACAUUACUAGCCAAGUCAACUGAAUGCUCCAAGGAAAUAAUGAUGAACUCAAGGGGAAAAUCAGAAUAUCUCUGAGAAGUGAAAGCACUAUAGAAAUUUGGAAGAGAAAGAACAAAUGAGGCAACCUCUGAUAUAUAAUAAGAAAUACAUAUUUGAUUUUUGUUCCUGUUUCUGAACACAGAUUAGUGUCAUCGUGGGUGGAAGCAAUAAUUUGUGCCUGGGUCUUAGUUUAUAAAGGUGACUGAGUGAUGGCAAUGCCACUAAAAGAAAAGUUUAAUGUUACUCACAGCUCCCCUUGAAUCAAGAGGCACAGUAUUAGGGAAGCACCAACAUUGUCAGGAGGCAGGAAGGAGCAAGGGGCCACAGCCUUUCUGGGGGUUUCUGUGGGAAAAGCAUGGCAGGGUAAGCAAGCAGAUUAGAAUUGCUAGUUUGAAUAAUUCCAGCAGGCUUGAGGGGACAGGGACUGUCCCUAGUUGUCUGGGGCAGCUUGGGGCAGGGGAAAUCCCGGCUUGGGGACUGUGAGUCAGAUAAAGGAGGUGCUGGGGAUAUGGACAGGGAUGGGUUGGCUUAUACAUGAAAGGUGGCCCCACCAACAGUUUAUGAUCUAUAGAAAUUGGCUAGCUCUGUGAGGGGCAGCCUCUCCCCAGCUAGCAAGGUGCCCCAAAGAUGUCAAAACAUCAAAAAUCAUAAAAAAAAAAUAUUGGGGAUGGAGGCAUGGGAAGAGACUGCUUAACAAGUACAGAGCUUCCUUUAGGGGAGAUGAAAAUAUUUUGAAACUGGAUUGUGGUGAUGGUUGCACAACACAGAAUGUACUCAAUAACACGGAACUGCAGAUUAAAAUGGUUUUAAAAAAGUUUUUAAAAACUGGGGGAAGCAAAAAUCUAGUAAAGUUUCUUACUGCCUGAGGUUUAACUGAUAAGCAAUGAUAAGAACCAUUUUUAAAGAAAGUGUAUCUAUAACUUAGGACAGAAAUUCCAGAUACACCAACUCUUGCAUGUCUGGGUAUUAGUAGUCUACACAGAACAGAGAGAGGUAAGAGAAUACUGAAGACUGAGGAGGCCAUGGAUGUUGAGAAGCCUUAAAUCAAUGACAACAAAAAAAAAGUGUAAAUGGGGUGCCUGGGUGGCUCAGUCAGUUAAGCAUCUGCCUUUGGCUCAGGUCAUGAUCCCAGGGUCCCAGGAUAGAGCCCCACGUUGGGCUCUUUGCUCAGU